AACGAACGCUGGCGGCGUGCCUAAUACAUGCAAGUAGAACGCACAGUUUAUACCGUAGCUUGCUACACCAUAGACUGUGAGUUGCGAACGGGUGAGUAACGCGUAGGUAACCUGCCUGGUAGCGGGGGAUAACUAUUGGAAACGAUAGCUAAUACCGCAUAAUAUUAAUUAUUGCAUGAUAAUUAAUUGAAAGGUGCAAUUGCACCACUACCAGAUGGACCUGCGUUGUAUUAGCUAGUAGGUGAGGUAACGGCUCACCUAGGCGACGAUACAUAGCCGACCUGAGAGGGUGAUCGGCCACACUGGGACUGAGACACGGCCCAGACUCCUACGGGAGGGAGUAGUAGGGAAUCUUCGGAAAUGGACGAAAGUCUGACCGAGCAACGCCGCGUGAGUGAAGAAGGUUUUCGGAUCGUAAAGCUCUGUUGUAAGAGAAGAACGGGUGUGAGAGUGGAAAGUUCACACUGUGACGGUAUCUUACCAGAAAGGGACGGCUAACUACGUG
rnacentral:rRNA from 1 species